CGCGUAGGCGGGCCAUCAAGUCCGGGGUGAAAUCUUUCGGCUUAACCGGAAAAUUGCCUUGGAUACUGGUGGUCUUGAGGGAAGUAGGGGUCUGCGGAACUUCCGGUGGAGCGGUGAAAUGUGUUGAUAUCGGAAGGAACGCCGGUGGCGAAAGCGGCGGACUGGGCUUCUUCUGACGCUGAGGCGCGAAAGCUAGGGGAGCAAACGG
rnacentral:rRNA from 1 species